CCCUAUACCAGCUCCCUGAGCCCUUACUAUGGGGCCUGGGGCUCUUUGUGGGCACCUGUCUCCCAGGACCCUCGGCUCUCCUGGGCCUCGCCGUCUCUGGCACCGCUCAAGCCCCGGGCUAGAAAGAGCUCGAGGACUCUGGCUCUGCCUCGAGGCAGACAGGAUCCCCCAGGCAAGGCCCAAGGAGAACAGGAAGCAGGGGCUGUGGGUGCCUCAGCCUGGGUGCUGACCAGGGCCGGGGCGGCAGGGUCAGAAGUGGCCUCGGCAGGAGGACCUGUGGUUCUGAGCGUGGCAUGGCCCGGGUAACUUCGAGCAGCAGGGCUGCGAGACUGGUCUGGGGCCUGCCUCCUCUGCCACGUCAGCCAGGAUGGGCUUGGUAUCCCCACCCGUCCCCGUGGUUACAGGUGGCUCAAGAGGCCGGCCCCUCUGUGAGGGCAGAGCCCGUGGUUCCCCUGAAGGGUCCCCCAGAGAAAUACGGUUCCGUCUCCACCUCUUCUGUUGCAGCAUCUCACACGGGCGAGACUCGGCUCCUUCUAACGAGCUGCCCCUCUGCCCGGCUCUGCCCAGGAAGAGUUUGGGCAGCACUUCGUACGUCGAGGUAGGGACAGGGAAGGUCAGGGGCCUUCUAGUGGGGGCAGGCGGAGCAGAGGCGGGGCCGAGCCUGAGGCUCUACGGGGCACGCACCAGGGGGCCAGGAUCGCGCCUGUACACAUGUGCCUGAGAGCGCGCACACACGCGCACGCACACACACACACACACAUAUACACGGCGAGCGUGUACUCGCAGGCCGCCUGCGACAUGACAGCCUGGAGAUCCUUGAGCAAAAGCAGCCCCGUGUGCGUUAAUUAGAAUUUCCAUGUCUCCAACUUUCUCCUGGACCCUGCAGAAUCUCACGCCAAAACGUUCAAGUUUCUCUUUUCCAGUGAGGCCGCUGCGGCCUGGCUUCCAGCCACAUCACUGCUAACGUCUCCUGAAAUCCGCGUUUGUCAGGGAGGCCGGGGCCAGCGCCGUGCCUUCUGGAAACGGGGGCCAAUGUCACAAGGCACGGCCCGGUGAACAGCUCCGCGGACCAGGGGUACUCUCACGAGCGGCAGGACCAGCUUCAUCCGGGACCCCUGGGCGACACCCAGGGCCACCCCAGGAGCCCUGGAGGCGCUAGGACCGCAUCUCUGCGAACCCCGAGCCCCUGGCUCGGUUUCUCACCCUGCAGACCUUGAUGGGAAAAGGCGGAGAGGCCUUUCUGGGGCCCUGUCCUGUCUUCUUCAGGGCUCCAGACCACCUCUGUCUGCUCGACAUGCCAAGGAAGCCCCGCGGGAGCCCGCCCGGGAGGGUUGUGCAGGCUGCAUGAGUCACAGGCUCCCCGUCGGAGCCCCACAGCCCCGGCCAGGCGCAAACCCGUCUCUGAAAUGCACUGGGGGAUUAAAUGUUCUCCUAAUUAAAUUAAAAGCGAGGCAGAGUGGCUCAGUGGGAAAGAGACGGAACUGGGAAUCGGAUGCCCUCGCCCUGGCUCGUGGCCCGUGCCGGCCCAGCUGCGGGCAGCCCCGGGGGCCCGAGCCCCUGGAGCCCCGCUGCCUCCAUCUGAGCCUGUGCGGAGGCUGUGGCCGGUCCCCCGGGGACCCGCCGUCUAGGUGGAAGGCCCAGAGGAAAGCAGGGAAGCUUCUCCCUUCCUCCGAAGCCGCUGCACUAACCGCAGCCAGUGCCCUGGGCCCAGCUCAGCCUUCUCUGCCGGGCGGGUGCCCAGCAAGGCAGCUUGUUGACCCAGCGGGCAGCGCCGAAGGGUGUCAGGAAAGAAGGGCUGGGCCCCGGAGGUGGCUUUAGGUUGUGCCGGUGUCGCUGUCUGGAUGUUUCUGGCCCUCGGGGAGUCCCACCCGGCUCCCCCGGAGCUCUGCCUAAACCUGGGAGGGGAGACCAAGUCCCGGGGCGGCCUGGUCAGGAGGCGAGUCCCGAGGCCUCUGAGCAGGGCCGGCACGGGGCUGGGGCCCGAGCUGGCCACCUGUCAGGUCAGGCUUGGCAAGGAUCGACCCUGUAUGCAGGGUCUGUUGAAGGGUGACGUACCCACGUGAGCACCCAGAGCUCCAGCCCCCAGGUGAGGCAGCAGAGCCUCCCAGGGAGACCCUGUGCUCCCACUUCCUGUCGCUGAUGCCCAAGGGGAACCAGCGUCCUGGCUUCUAGCAGCGCGACUCAAUGGCGUGCAUUCCUAAACUUUCUAAAGAUGGACAUGCCCCCCCCCACCCGCCCUGCCCCAUACGCCUGACUUCCUGUGAGCCCAGCCGUCCGGCUGCAGAGAGUUCCCUCUCUCCUUGCCGGCUGGCCCUCGGCCUCAGGUGAGCCAUUCUACUCCCACAGCCACGUGGAGAGCAGGGCCCCGCGUGGGCUGCCGCGGUCGACGCCUGACGGCUCCGUGUAAGCAGCUCUCCGGGACCCUUCCCGGCUGCGGUUCAGCGAGGCGCUGUCUAGGUGUGGGGUGGCCGGCUUGCUGGAUGAGCGUGCUGACUUACAGUGGAUGCUGGUUCCCAGGUUCGCGGCGCGGGCGGGCACACCCCUGCCUCUGCCACUGGGGCGGCGCGGCACUCCGGCAGCUCCACGCACCCCGCUUCGCGCCGUCCACCCCCUCCCCGCCGGCCGAGCGGGUGGGCGUCCAGCGGCCCGUCCAGCGUCGAUGGUGAUCCGCGGGAGAGCCCACGGCUGGUGCCGCCGCGCGUCUUUCCACGCUGCUGUGCUGCGUAAGGCGCCCGCUUCGGGUGCCCGUUUCCUCUUGGGUUAUCUCGGCUCGUGGAGUCGUGGUCCUGCCUUGACGCGUGCUGGACGCGAGCCGCUGGUCUGACAGAUAGAAGUUCACUCCGGGUAAGCGGCACCCCCCUUCCGCAGCCGCCCUGUGCCUCUCUCGAGGGUGUCUUCUGAUGCGCGGGAGGUCUUCACGUUAGCGUGACCCAGUUCGUGGAACACUGCCUUUCUGGAGAGCACCCUCUGUGUCCCAGCUGAGAUGCGUUGACGACUCCAAGGUCAUCAGGAUAGGGGGUGUUUCGAAAGCUCUGCGAGUUCGCCUCUCCCAUGCGCAUCUGCAGUCUGCCUGGAACCAAUCUCUGCAUCCCAUCCCACGUGAGGCUGAGGUCGAGGUCCCCCCUCUCCCCCACCCCCCAGUGUGGAAAUCCUAUCUGACUCGGCACCUUUAUGGCACAGGCCAUCCUUCCGCCCCCGCCCGGCCAGGUCAGCAACGUCACGUCCACGUGUGGCUCUGUCUGGGGACCUCAUUUGCUGCCACUGGUCAGCUCUUGGGUUUUCUUUUCUGCCGGGACCGUGCUGUGUGUUCCCAGUAGUUGGAGACCAGCUCUUGACAGCUGGCCGUGCAGGCUCCCUUCUCGUGCCUUGCUUGGCUGUCCUGGUGUGGCCCCAUCUCUCCAUCCAUGGGCCAGUUUCCAGAGAAGACCCCAGUGGGUACCGCAGCUCUCCGGACAGGUCUGGGGGGAGGGAGUGUCUGAACAGCACUGAGUCUCUGGACCAGGUCUCGGCGUGUCCCGCGUCCGUCUGGGCCUCCUUUCAUCGCUCCACGUCUUGAAGUUGGCCGUGUGCUGAGAUUUGUUCCUCGUGAGCUGACUUUAUCAUGCUUCCUCAGGCCUGGGGACAGUGCGCCAGGAAACCCUGGCCAUCGGGGGCCAUUGUGCCCUGGGUCAGCUGGCGGGGGCAGCCCCCUCACCUGUCUGGGUGUCCGUGUGCUCCUGCAGACACGGGGGCUGUGGCCCCAGGUGCCGGUGUGAGGCCCUGGGGACCAGGAGCAGGCACCUGAUUUGGGAAAGUGCCCGAAGCACGUCAACCUGAAACAUCACCUGGUGAUGAGCCCCCAGGGGGACGGGACAGCCCUUCCUUGGCCAGAGAGCUUCUAAAUCCACCAGGUCACAAGUUUUCACGGGGCACAGACGAGGCCCCGGUGUUGUCCUUAUGUAGCAAGACGUACCUAGAGACCCCAAAGCCAGGCCGGGCUGAGGCAGGGAAGAAGCUGUAGGCCCACGACCCACGGCCUCCCGUCCCCGGGAAAGGGGCUCAUGAGCUGCUCUGGGCCCAACGGACACACCCCGCCAUUUAUUCCCGUCAGCCAGGCAGUCCUGCCAAGGAUGGCACCAGGCUUCUGCCGCUGCUGCGUGUGGCAGGGGAGGGGGGCACCGAGGCGUUCCCAGUCUCUGAGCGACUGGCAGGACACACAGCCCAAAGGUGGCAGCAGGGUUUGCCAACCUGGCGGCCCCCAGGUGCUCAGGAGAGGCCGACACUCUAGUGCACAUGUCUUGGGGGCAGGGGGCUGCUGCUGGCAGGCACACAGCUCGAAUCUGUGGUAGGGCCCUCAGAGGGCACCUGUGAGUCACUCCCACAAGUCACAGGACGGGGACUUGCCAGCAUCACCCAUGAGGCAGUGGCAGAGCCCAGGCUUAUUCCCCGACAUACCACCUUUAGGGGCCCCAGUCUGUGAAGGGGAGGCCGGCUCCCCCAGGGCUGCUGAGCAGGGCAGGGAGGUAACAAGCCAGCGGUGGGGAAGAGCCUGGCUGCUGGCUCGGGUCUCUGCCCCCUAGGGCGCUUCUGUGGCCCAGCGGGCAGGCGGGCACAGGCCAUGGAGAGGCAGUCCGCGCACUGGCUGGCGACUUGGCGCCCUCUCCAACGAGAGCCCUGCGCCUUCAGUCGCUUCCUGACCUGGCACCGCUGGGCGCCCCAGACCUGCAGAGCACCGGGGGCUCUUGGACCACGUGGGCAGCACCGACUGACCUCCCGGGGUGCAGGGCCCAACCCGGCGUGGGGGCUCCUUCAAGGUUCACAAGCCCUCUCGGGACAAUGCGGGCAGCCUGGGCGCAUCCUUAGCAGUGACCGGCUACUGCUCAGAGGUCGGGCUGGCCCUCGGGAGCGCCGGGCGCCCUCUCGGAGGCCUGGUGGAGGGAGAGAGUCGGGUCCAGCCUCCGAGUCUGCGCCCCCGACCUCCCCAGCAGCCCCGCCCCGCAGUCGUGCCCCCCACUGCUGCUUCGAUCUUCCCAGCAACCUCUUCGCGUGGGCAGUGGCCCCAGAGGCUCGCCUUGGAGACAGCGCUGGGGGAACCCUGAGAAGAGCAGGAGUGUGACCGAGGCCGGGUGUGGCCGGGAGAGCACAGCCAGUUGUGGGUUUUUCUUGGGGCCCAGAUAGACAUGAGCAGGGACGGAGGCCCCUCUCACUCAGCCCCCGCCACACACACUAGGGCCUUUCUUCAGCGCACGGCUGUGCAGCUGGAGGCCAAGGACACCCUCUGGAAAUCUGAAUUCCAUUCGCUCUUGGCAGAGAGCAGCUUCCUGCUUGGGGAAGGUGUGCGCGUGUGCACUCGCGUGUGUACACACGGCCGCGGGGGCUGGCGGGGCAGAGGCACGUGGGCGGAGUGGCGUUUGAAGAGACGUGUAAGGUGAGCCCAGCGUUUCCCGGCAGAGGGGACGGCACUUGCAGGGCUCGUUCGGAGGAGUUUCCGGCGAAUACCUGGAAUGAAUGACUCCAAAUCGUGCAGGCGGCGUUGCCUCUGAAACAGACUCUGGCUUAAAACAGCCACAGCAAAACAUGCCUCCGAUUGUGAAAGCCAGAACUUUUUGCAAAAUAAUUCAAAAAGUUUGCUGAACCUUAAACCUUUCCUGAAGAUGCCUUCCUUCUGAAGUUAACUCACUAAAGUUGCUCCAAUCCCAGCCUGGUGCCAGACCAGUUUCCUGGAAACUCUCGCCAACUGCUGGCCUUUGGAAGGGCUUGUCACCCUAAUAGCU
rnacentral:lncRNA from 1 species